rnacentral:rRNA from 1 species
UACGUAGGGACCAAGCGUUGUUCGGAUUUACUGGGCGUAAAGGGCGCGUAGGCGGCAAUUCAAGUCAUCUGUGAAAUCUCCGGGCUUAACUCGGAACGGUCAGAUGAUACUGCUUUGCUAGAGUGCAGAAGGGGCAAUCGGAAUUCUUGGUGUAGCGGUGAAAUGCGUAGAUAUCAAGAGGAACACCUGAGGUGAAGACGGGUUGCUGGGCUGACACGUGACGCUGGAGGCGCGAAAGCCAGGGGAGCAAACGGG